rnacentral:rRNA from 1 species
CAAUAAGCGGAGGAAAAGAAACCAACAGGGAUUGCCUCAGUAACGGCGAGUGAAGCGGCAAGAGCUCAAAUUUGAAAUCUGGCCUCCUUUGGGGGUCCGAGUUGUAAUUUGUAGAGGAUGCUUCGGGUGUGGCCGCCGUCUAAGUUCCUUGGAACAGGACGUCAGAGAGGGUGAGAAUCCCGUCUUGGACGGCCGGUCCGCGCCCGUGUGAAGCUCCUUCGACGAGUCGAGUUGUUUGGGAAUGCAGCUCUAAGCGGGUGGUAAAUUUCAUCUAAAGCUAAAUAUUGGCCGGAGACCGAUAGCGCACAAGUAGAGUGAUCGAAAGGUUAAAAGCACCUUGAAAAGGGAGUUAAACAGCACGUGAAAUUGUUGAAAGGGAAGCGCUUGCGGCCAGACUCGGGGGCGGGGUUCAGCGGGCGCUCGUCGCCCGUGCACUCCCCGUUCCCCGGGCCAGCAUCAGUUUCGACGGCCGGUCAAAGGCCCCCGGAAUGUGUCGUCUCUCGGGACGUCUUAUAGCCGGGGGUGCAAUGCGGCCCGCCGGGACUGAGGAACGCGCUUCGGCUCGGAUGCUGGCGUAAUGGCCGUAAGCGGCCCGUCUUGAAACAC